UACGUAGGGGGCAAGCGUUGUCCGGAAUUAUUGGGCGUAAAGAGCUUGUAGGCGGUUUGUCGCGUCUGCCGUGAAAGUCCGGGGCUCAACUCCGGAUCUGCGGUGGGUACGGGCAGACUAGAGUGAUGUAGGGGAGACUGGAAUUCCUGGUGUAGCGGUGAAAUGCGCAGAUAUCAGGAGGAACACCGAUGGCGAAGGCAGGUCUCUGGGCAUUAACUGACGCUGAGGAGCGAAAGCAUGGGGAGCGAACAGG
rnacentral:rRNA from 1 species